GAUCAGAAUGCCGCGGUGAAUACGUUCCCGGGCCUUGUACACACCGCCCGUCACACCAUGGGAGUUUGUUGCACCAGAAGUAGCUAGCCUAACUGCAAAGAGGGCGGUUACCACGGUGUGGCCGAUGACUGGGGUGAAGUCGUAACAAGGUAGCCGUAGGGGAACCUGCGGCUGGAUCACCUCCUUA
rnacentral:rRNA from 1 species